rnacentral:rRNA from 1 species
UACGUAGGGAGCAAGCGUUGUCCGGGAUCAUUGGGCGUAAAGCGCGCGUAGGUGGCCCCGUAAGUCCGCUGUGAAAGUCAAAGGCUCAACCUUUGAAAGCCGGUGGAUACUGUGGGACUAGAGUACGGAAGAGGCGAGUGGAAUUCCUGGUGUAGCGGUGGAAUGCGCAGAUAUCAGGAGGAACACCAAUAGCGAAGGCAGCUCGCUGGGACGUUACUGACACUGAGGCGCGAAAGCGUGGGGAGCGAACAGG